UACGAGGGGAGCAAGCGUUGUUCGGAUUUACUGGGCGUAAAGGGCGCGUAGGCGGUCGUGACAAGUCACUUGUGAAAUCUCCGGGCUUAACUCGGAACGGUCAAGUGAUACUGUCGGACUAGAGUACAGAAGGGGCAACUGGAAUUCUCGGUGUAGCGGUGAAAUGCGUAGAUAUCGAGAGGGAACACCUGGCGGCGAAGGCGGGUUGCUGGGCUGAUACUGACGUGGAUGCGGCGAAAGCCAGGGGAGCGAACGGG
rnacentral:rRNA from 1 species